GGGAGGAGACAGAGCAGCCCGGUGCGGUAAGCUGGCCUUGUAGCUGCCUGCCAGGCCUUGCGCUCACCCCAGACUGCCAGAGAGUCCAGACUGGCCCCAAGUGAUAAGGCCCUAGGCUGGGACGCGGCCACUGCAAUGGAAAAGCAGGAGGAACAGGAGAACUUGGAAACUAAUUUGAUACGGGGAUGAGGGAGAGAAAGGAGCCCAAGAUGACCUCUAAAGAUCCCUGGAGAACGGGGACAGGUGCCGGAGCGCAAGCCCAGCAGAGGCCUCAGCCCAGUGCCAACAUUGAAGACCAGAGUGGAGAGGAUGGCACAGAUAAAGGUCAACCAACUGCAGAUGAAGGCCUACCUAGAAGGGUCUGCGCAGGACAGGCAGAGUCCCUCCAGAUCUGAAGACUAUGCAGCCAGCUAGCACCAGGCCUACACCAGGGGACAAGACCAAGAAUGAAGAGACCAAGGCUCCCUGCAGAUCACAUGGCCGAUUCUCAUUGCUUCCAACCUUGGCUGCCUGGAAGAACCUUAUCUCUACAUAGAUACAGCCAGUGAGUCUACACUAGACAAGGCAACCAGAGACCAAAGAGAAGAAAAGGCAGAGCGGGGACAUCCGGAGACAAGAGAGAAGCAACAGCUGUUGGCUUGGAAUACCACAGAAAGAAACUUGAGGUAGCGGCUUGCCAGUCGGCUACUGUGAAACCAGAGGCAUGGUAUCUUUUCUGCCACUAGCCUGGCAGGCAUUGACAGGGAGGUUGGCCUUGGCAGUGAGGGAGCAUCCCCAAUCCCAGUAGCCUGGGGCAAUCUCUUUCUGGAAGACAGCGGCUUCCUUGCUUUUGCUGGCUCUUCCAGUUCACCAUCACCUGAGAGUUUCCGGCUGUGAACACAGCCUGCCAAGGGGCAAGCUGAAGGAAACAGACUGCAUGAGAAAAUGGGGAACCUGUCAGGGUAGAAGCAAGCUUCCUGCAGCCCCAUGGCACGGUUCUCCAGUUUGGGUUGCCUCUCAUUUUGGCAUGGAUUUGAGGAGAUGUGUUCUAAAGUUUCUGGAGAAAAUUAGAAGGAUUGCAAGUAAAGUUGGGUAGUGCUCUAUGAAAAGGCCUGGAACAUUCCACAUUUGGAUUCUUAUAUGUCUUCUUUUUGGGAGGGGGCAUUUAAAACAGGGUUUCUCUGUCCUGGAACUCACUCUGUAGACCAGGCUGUCUUCAAUCUCAGAAAUCUGCCUGCCUUUGGCCCCUCUGUCCCCUAGUACUCAGAUUAAAGGCGUGCGCCAUCAACA
rnacentral:lncRNA from 7 species